rnacentral:rRNA from 1 species
CAACGUAGGUAACCUGCCCAUGUGUCCGGGAUAACUGCUGGAAACGGUAGCUAAAACCGGAUAGGUAUACAGAGCGCAUGCUCAGUAUAUUAAAGCGCCCAUCAAGGCGUGAACAUGGAUGGACCUGCGGCGCAUUAGCUAGUUGGUGAGGUAACGGUCCACCAAGGCGAUGAUGCGUAGCCGGCCUGAGAGGGUAAACGGCCACAUUGGGACUGAGACACGGCCCAA